rnacentral:rRNA from 1 species
AACGAACGCUGGCGGCAUGCCUAACACAUGCCAGUCGAACGAGACCUUCGGGUCUAGUGGCGCACGGGUGCGUAACGCGUGGGAACCUGCCCUUAGGUUCGGAAUAACUCCCCGAAAGGGGUGCUAAUACCUGAUAAUGUCUUCGGACCAAAGAUUUAUCGCCUUUGGAUGGGCCCGCGUUGGAUUAGCUAGUUGGUAGGGUAAAAGCCUACCAAGGCGACGAUCCAUAGCUGGUCUGAGAGGAUGAUCAGACACACUGGGACUGAGACACGGCCCAGACUCCUACGGGAGGCAGCAGUGGGGAAUAUUGGACAAUGGGCGAAAGACUGUUCCAGCAAUGCCGCGUGAGUGAUGAAGGCCUUAGGGUUGUAAAGCUCUUUUACCCGGGAUGAUCAUGACAGUACCGGGAGAAUAAGCUCCGGCUAACUCCGUG